rnacentral:rRNA from 1 species
UGGGGAAUAUUGCGCAAUGGGGGAAACCCUGACGCAGCAACGCCGCGUGAAGGAUGAAGGUCUUCGGAUUGUAAACUUUUGUCUUUGGGGAAGAAAAAAAUGACGGUACCCAAGGAGGAAGCCACGGCUAACUACGUGCCAGCAGCCGCGGUAAUACGUAGGUGGCAAGCGUUGUCCGGAUUUACUGGGUGUAAAGGGCGUGUAGACGGGCUCUUAAGUCAGAUGUGAAAUGCCGAAGCUCAACUUCGGAACUGCAUUUGAAACUGGGAGUCUUGAGUGCAGGAGAGGAAAGCGGAAUUCCUAGUGUAGCGGUGAAAUGCGUAGAUAUUAGGAGGAACACCAGUGGCGAAGGCGGCUUUCUGGACUGUAACUGACGUUGAGGCGCGAAAGCGUGGGGAGCAAACA